GACGAACGCUGGCGGCGUGCUUAACACAUGCAAGUCGAACGGAAAGGCCCUGCUUUUGUGUGGUUCUCGAGUGGCGAACGGGUGUGUAACACGUGAGUAACCUGCCCUUGACUUUGGGAUAACUUCAGGAAACUGGUGCUAAUACCGGCUAGGAGCUCCUGCUGCAUGGUGGGGGUUGGAAAGUUUCGGCGGUUGGGGAUGGAGUGCCGGCUUAACAGCUUGUUGGUUGGGUAGUGGCUUACCAAGGCUUUGACGGGUAGCCGGCAUGAGAGAGUGACCGGCGACAUGAGGACUGAGAGACGGAGCAGACUGCAACGGGAGACAGCAGUGGAGAAUAUUGCACAGUGGGGGGAAGCGUGAUGCGGAGGCGCCGCGAGCGGGAUGACGGCCUUCGGGGUGUAAACCGCUUUAGGCUGAGACGAAGCGUGAGUGACGGUAAUGGGUAAAGAAGCACCGGCUAACUACGUG
rnacentral:rRNA from 1 species